rnacentral:ncRNA from 1 species
GUGCGGUGAUAAAAAAUAGUGUUUUUUAAAUGUUGGUUUGCCAAUGGCGCCAAGGGAAUGAGCAAGUUUGUAGGGACUUGUGAAUAAAAUUAAGGC